UACGAAGGGGGCUAGCGUUGCUCGGAAUCACUGGGCGUAAAGCGCGUGUAGGCGGCUUUGCAAGUCGGGUGUGAAAUCCCUCAGCUCAACUGAGGAAGUGCGCCCGAAACUGCAGAGCUUGAGUGCCGGAGAGGGUGGCGGAAUUCCCCAAGUAGAGGUGAAAUUCGUAGAUAUGGGGAGGAACACCGGUGGCGAAGGCGGCCACCUGGCCGGUUACUGACGCUGAGACGCGAAAGCAUGGGGAGCAAACAGG
rnacentral:rRNA from 1 species